rnacentral:tRNA from 1 species
GCCGGGGUGGUGGAACGGCAGACACGGAGCACUCAAAAUGCUCUGCCCGCAAGGGCGUGCGGGUUCAAGUCCCGCUCCCGGCAC